UACGUAGGGGGGCGAGCGUUGUCCGGAUUUAUUGGGCGUAAAGAGCGUGUAGGCGGUUCGGUAAGUCUGUCGUGAAAUCCUGAGGCUCAACCUCGGGCGUGCGAUGGAUACUGCCGGGCUAGAGGAUGGUAGAGGCGAGUGGAAUUCCUAGUGUAGAGGUGAAAUUCGUAGAUAUUAGGAAGAACACCGGUGGCGAAGGCGGGUCUCUGGGCCGAUACUGACGCUGAGGAGCGAAAGCGUGGGGGAGCGAACAGG
rnacentral:rRNA from 1 species